rnacentral:ribozyme from 1 species
UGGAACCAAGAAAUAAAAGGCAAUUUUAGGACUGCAAAAACAAUCCCAUUUUUUUUUUUUUUUUUUCCUUUUCUAAUUUUUCUUGUUUUUU